CCCCUCACUCGUGCAACCCAGUGGUGAGCCGAUACUAAACCCCAGCUUAGGAAACAGGGUUGUUCUUCCUGGGGAUAACUCUGUGCCGAAAGCGUGGGAACAGCU